AGGCUGGGGAGCGGCACUGAUGGGGUUAAGGUCCUGCCCGCCCGCGGGAAGCCUUGGCUGCCCUAGGACUCCUUCCUUCCAAACCUUAACAUUUCAGAUCCAGUUCUUAAGAGGAGAAGCAGACCGUCGCCCAUGAUGCUGAAAGGAGACUACACCCAGCCCUGGAACUACUGAGGUGGAGGCCUCCAGAGCUGCCCACGGGGAAAUGGUGGCCACUGGCUCACACAGCCCCGCUCCCCUGUGCACAGCAGGAAGGCCCUGGGACUCCCGGCUUCCUUGAUCACCGAUGGAUCACUUCUGGUGAAAAAGAUCUCCGUUCCAUUCACCUCUCCCCACUCUGAAGCCAGCAGGGACCACCAGUGUGCACAGGCUGGAGCCAGAGUUCUGCAGAUGACUCCCAGCCCCUUGCUGCUCUGCCAGGAGCUCUGACGCCACCCGCCAGGCUGGCCCCAUCCCUGUCAGGCCCAGGAGUGGCCACAGGGGCUGAAGACAGGCUGUCAAGGAGACCGGCUCCCAGAGGUGGCGGCUCAGCAUUCAAGAAGCCGAGGAUAAAGGAGCAUCAGAGCCUGGCCAGUGGUGCUUGUUAUCAGUGGAGUCUCGCUGCUGUGGGGUUACCAUUCAGGUUUGCGGUGUGUGGUCGUGUCUCUUUAAGGACGAGGCCUCUUUAAGACAAGUUCC